AUGAACUUCCACGACGUCCACACGCUGCAGCAGGCGCUGGACGUCGCCCCGCCGCCUCGUCUUCGCACGGCACAAGACCGUGCUUAUCACGCUGAGCGGAAGAACCGCCUCGCCCAUGAGGACGAGCGGGUCAUGGCGGAGUGGCGCCAGCAACACCCGAAGGACGUCUCCUACGAGCAAGCCUACUGGGCAAGGCGCCACGAGGAGGAGACGCAAAGGCACCGCGCUGAGCAGUUGGACAGGCGUCGGCAGAAGGCCCUGGCGCUAUCCCAAUGCGAUGUCGUUGAGAAUGGUGGUGAGAUGAUCUUUACGUCCGAUGAUGAUCGUUGGGAAGACAUGCAACUCGAUACCUCGGAUCAGACCAGCGUGGAUGGCGACGAUGACGAUGAUGACGACGACUGGGAGUAG
rnacentral:rRNA from 1 species